UAUUCAUCAUGGUGUAAUGCUCAAAUAUCAGUGCUAGUUACUCAUGCACCAUGAUUGUCUGGAUAUGUGCCAUGUUAUCCC
rnacentral:pre_miRNA from 15 species